GAGGCUAUAGCUCAGCGGUGGAGCGCAUGUGUGGCACACCUGAGGCUCUGGGUUCAAACCCUAGCCCCA
rnacentral:tRNA from 1 species